UACAGAGGGGGCAAGCGUUAUUCGGAAUUAUUGGGCGUAAAGGGCGCGUAGGCGGCUUUGCAAGUGACGGGUGAAAGCCCUCGGCUUAACCGAGGAACUGCCUGUCAGACUGUAAGGCUUGAGACCGGGAGAGGUGAGUGGAAUUCCCAGUGUAGCGGUGAAAUGCGUAGAUAUUGGGAGGAACACCAAUGGCGAAGGCAGCUUGCUGGGACGGUACUGACGCUGAGGCGCGAAAGCGUGGGGAGCAAACAGG
rnacentral:rRNA from 1 species